rnacentral:lncRNA from 1 species
AUCCAUUCUUUCAUUCUUUUUAUUUUAUUUUUUAUUUUUAUGGGUACACAGUAGGUGUAUAUAUUUAUGGAACAUGAGAUGUUUUCAUACAGGCAUACAAUGCAUAAUAAUCACAUCAUGGAAGAUGGGGUAUUCAUCCCCUCAAGCAUUUUUGCUUUGUGUUACAAAAAAUUCAACUAUGCUCAUUUAGUUAUUUUUAAACGUAGCAUUAAAUUAUUAUUGACUAUAGUCACCCUGUUGUGCUAUCAAAUACUAGAUCUUAUUCAUUUAUUCUAACUAUUUCUUGGUACCAGUUAACCACCCCCACUUCUCCCUCAACCCCCCACUACCUUUCGCAUCCUCUGGUAAUGACCUGUCUACUCUCUUACUCUCUAUCUCCAUGGGUUCAAUUGUUUUGAUUUUUCGAUCCCACAAGUAAGUGGAAACGUGAUGUUUGUCUUUCUGUACCUGGCUUAUUUCACUUAACAUAAUGACAUCCAAUUACAUCCAUGUGGUUGCAAAUGACUGAAUCUUGUUCUUUUUAUGGCUGAAUUGUAUUUCAUUGUGUAUAAGUACCACAUUUUCUUUACCAUUCAUCUGUUGAAGGACAUGCAGUUUGCUUCCACAUCAUAGCUGUUGUAAACAGAGCUGCAACAGCUAAUUUCCUUUCUUUGGGGUAUAUACCCUGCAGUGGGAUGGCUGGCUCAUAUGGUAGCUCUAUUUUUAGGUUUUCUGACAAACCUCCAAACUGUUCUCCGUAGUGCUUGUAUUAAUUUAUUAAUUUACAUUACCACCAACAGUGUACGAGGGUUCUCUUUUGCUUGUGGCUGAGUUGACACUCGAACUACAAGACCCAGUCCUUCUCACUCUUCCCUCCCCUUUCCAAAGGCAGAGGAGCCUCACCCAGUGGAUAUCACUACCUCAGACCCCUGGGGACUGCUACUAGACUACCUCUGAUGUUCCCUUAAGGCUUAAAGGCUCUUCAGUCAGCUUGUAGUGAAUAUUACCUGGCUAGGACUCACCCUUCAGGGGAGUGAGCUCCUCUCUGGCAAUGGGAAGUACCAGAAAUGUCAUCCACAAGUCAAGUCCUGCAACUGGGGUCCCUAAGAGCCCACUUGGUACUCUAUUCCAUUGUGGCUGAGCUGAUACUUAAAGUGAAAAGCAAAGUUUCCUUUACUUUUCUGUUCACUUUUCUCAAGCAGGAGUCUCACCCUAAUCAGCUACAACAAUUGGAAAUGUGCCGAGUCUCUCCUAAGUCCAGCCAGUCUCAGCAUCUCACCUAAGACCUUUGAUGUAGUACCUGGAUAUCCCUGUUGGUUAUUCACAGCUCAGGGUCCCUUCAGGCAGCAAGUGAUGAAUCCUUCCAGGAAUGAGUCCUUCUCUUCAAGGCAAUGAAUUCCCUUCUUGCCUAGGGUGUGUCCAGAAAUGUCCAGGAGCUAGGGCCUGAAAUGAGGGUCUCACAACUCUGACCGGUGCUCUAUUCUGCUGUGGCUGAGCUGGUAUCCAAGAUGCAAGACAAAGUCUUCCCCACUAUUCCAUCUCCUCUCCUCAAGCAGAAGGAAGGAGUCUCUUUUACAGCCAGGAUUUUUGCAGCCUGGGCUUCGGGGAUGGGUGAGGCCAGCACUCCCUUAGCUGCCCCAGCUGGUGUCGCAGUAGGUCGCAUGCAACCACAGUCUACUGUCUCUUGGUCCAGUUCAGCCUAUGACUCACCUUGGUGUUGCAGUCCUUGAGGCCUAAAUUGCGUUUCAAAUUUAUUUGAAGCCCCAAAGCACUUUUGCCCACAGUGGUGAGGCUUGUAGGAACUCAAGUUCCAACCGCUGGGAUCAGCAAUUCCCCUCUGGCUCCGGCUGGUUUAAAUGCUGUCUUUGCGGGAGGGUGCCAGCUGAGUUUGGUCCGGCUCUGCUUUCAGCUAUAACAAGGGCAGCACUGAGUUCAAUGCCUCACAGUUGCUGGCUCUCCCUCUCCCCAGGGUGCAGAAAAGCUCUCUGCACCACAUUGCCACUGCCAAGGAAGGGGGGAGGGAUGGCAUAGGCAAUUCAAGUCUGUUUUUUCUACUUCUUCGGUGCCUCUUUCAGCGAUAUGAAUUUAAAACCAGUGUGCCGUUAGAUUUCACCCAUCUGGAUUCAGAUUCCACUAAUUUUGGAAGUCCACAUAAUGCUGACAGUAUCAUUAAAAAAAGUGAUGUCUUUAAGGUAAAUCUUUUUUUCUGGAAAAUUUUUAAGUACUUUAUGCAAAACUAUUAGCAAGGGGUGGAGAUAUUUUAUAUUGCAUUACAGAGCAAAAAUGUUUAUGUACCUCAGAAUUAUCCUUUCCAGCCCACUUUAGACAUGUUGGUAUGUCCUGUGUUGGAAGACAUUUAGAAAAUAAGUAGGUUAGAGAGACAGACAGACAGACAGACAGACAGACAGAAACUGUUGAACACUCAUAGCAUGAAUACUAUAGAUCACUAGGACCUCAGGCCUCUUUCUCAAGUUUGCAAGUCUAGAAAUUUCAUAUGUUCAAUUUUCUCAGGCUUGAUCAGCUUCCUGGAACCUGACUCAUUCUAACAAUCUCACACAAGAAUAUUUACAGAAAGUUUACAUUUGCAGCCACUUAAAAAAUUCAUUAGAAGAAAUCUCUCAGAGCAAGAUCUAAGGCCAAUCACCUUCCUUCUCAUGGGAGGAAAUAUUCAGUUGUAAUGUUUAGUUGGUAGAGAGAGAAUUCAAACCAGAGAAGUUGGUAUUCUGUAGCAGAUGUCACUAUUGAUAUUAGAAAGAAUGGAAAACAGAGCUGCUGCUAAAGUAAGCAAGCUGACAGCUGAGGCAGAAGUGUAUCAACAGCAGUAUGUUCACGGGAUCACCACAUUGACGAUUCAGCCCAGUUAUCUGGCAGUGCAUAAACUCAGUGCUGUUGGUACAAUCACAGAAGAUCAACCAGAGAUAUUUAUCAAAUGCUGAUUAUAUGACAAGACCUACACUGGAUCCUUGGGAUACAACCAUAAGAUAAUUGUGACAGUCCCAAUCCUUACAAAGACAGGCAAAAAGUUCAUAGACCAUCAUUUGUCUAUGGACCACACUUUGAACACAACUGCUCUGGACAAGCAGGCCUUGGAUUUCUACGUGUUUGUGUCUUAGAUCUGUUAAACUCAGCUGACCCACCACACCCAAGCAGAACUUCAAAAGAAGCUGUGAAAAGCGUGCUUGUUCUAGCUGGAAGAUCAUCCUGAGUCCCUCCCUGUUUAUUCUUGAAAUGUUUGGGCCUCCUUUCAUCUCCAGUUCUCAGAUUUGGGCACAAUAACCGAGCUCUGAUGUCUACAUCUAACCCUGUGGAUCCCAGGCUGUCAAUGAAAUGUUUAUUUCAUGCGGAUUCCGUGGCUCUGCUGACUCAGCUUAUUUUGCAGUCUCUAUUACCCUAUUGCGAAAUCUCCCUGUCUAUGACUAGCCUCGAAAUCCCAAUUUCCAGAGGACAAGGAUCUGGACAUCCACUGCCCCUCUUCUUGCAGCACAGCCAGCCCUGGAAGGACCCUCUAACUUUAGCUACACUUGAAACAGAAAUUUUACAUGACUCACCAUAUGAUAGCAUUGAUGCUCUCCUGUAAUUCAAAUUCAACCUUCGUGUUUCACUUUCAAACCUGCUUCAUCAAAGUGACAUAUUCAAUAGAACAGAAGAGUGGCCUUUUCUGAGAUUUUUAUUAGGGGAAAAGGAUGUACAGUGAAUUACACCUCACACCUCACACCUCAAAGAAAACUUCCAAAAUAUGUUUUUUACCUAUCUUCUUUCCCCAGAUUCCCACAUCAUACAACAGUAGCUUUAUCUCUGUCUCUUUCUCUCUCUCUCUCUGUCUUUCUCUCUCUCUGAAUCGCUAGCUUAUUGUUGCUCUCUAAGUUCCAUGAAGCUGUAAAAAAAAAAAGAAUAAGAUACUUAUGAACUAAUGUGCAGCAAUUUCCCAGACAUAUUGUUAAAUGACCAAAAGCACGGUGCAGAAGAAUACAUAUAGUAUGCCACCUUUUGUGUAAAAAAGAUUAGGAAGUAAGAAAUCAGGCAUAUCUUUACAAAAAGAAAGAGGAAAAGUGAAAACUAUGAAGUUUUCAGGGGAAGCGUAUGGAACAUAUAUGCAAAGUGUGACACUUCCCUGACAAUUCCUGUUUUUACGGUUUGACAUGAAGUUAUCUUAAUAUUCUACAUACUGAAAGAAUAAACAUAAUUUGAAAAAGGAUAAGAAAGGAAAGAAAAUGAAAGCAAACGCAAACAUGAACCCAAUGUUAUUUCUAAAGAAAAAUGUAGCAUAUUACAGGGACGGUGUGGCAAUGAAAGGACAACCCUGAGUAGCUUAUGAUCACAGUAUUUGACUAUAAACCCUUAGCUUUGGGCAAGUUACAUGUACAGGGUAGAGAACACCAGACAAAUCCUGAAGGGUUUCAGAGGUAUGGGCAAAGCAAUUCUGAAAUUAUUUUAGAUCUAUUAUAAGAGUAAACAAAUUAGUAAAUGUAUCGAAGUUGUUGGGAGCUACUUGUUUUCUUGCUGUGGAAAAGGGGGCUAAUAAACAUGAAACAGAGAAAGCAAGCACUUAGUGAGGCUGGAUCAGAAUCAGUGGUAUCAGCAUGGACUCAAGAUUUCUAAAUAGAUACAUAUAUACACACACACACGUAUACAUUUAUAUGCAUGUAUAUAUGUGUACAUGUAUAUGUAUCUAAUUUAUGUGUAUAUAAAAAUACAUGUAGUAAGUAUAUAUUUAGGUGUUUAUAUGUCUAUAUACCUGUAUAUAUUUCUUAUCUCAGACCACAAAAAGACCUAGAGGCAGAAAUACCACAGUAGCAUUGAACACACUUGGUGCCCAGAUUUUAGCCCCUAAUAUCAGUCCCCACUAAAGAGAACAAGGGGUCUCGUUUUCUUGCUGCUGGUAUUCACUCAACUGCUCAAACUAAAACUUUGUCAUUCGUUUUUAAAAAUUAAUAUUACUAUUAAUCUUUAAAGAUUACUAAGUGUUCUCCAAAUUAUUUUGCAUGGUAUACAAGGACCCUCAAACUUUUAAACUUUUAAAUCAAAUUAAAUUUCUAGAGUACUUUAGCAAACGACUUGCUAAAAUCUCUAAAGAGCCCUAUUUUAUAAUUCAAACAGGAAUAAGCUGUUAAUUUGGGCUUAUUGGGUUUUACAAUACCAAAAAUGUCAAUAUGCUUAGCGACAGACUACUCUAUUAUAUCUAUGUCAUUGAAGAAACUAUUUAGGAAAUGAUUUUAACUUGCAAAUCGAGUAGUCUUUAUGAAAAAAAUACAUCUCUUUUGCUUCAGUUGGCUUUUUCUAGAUGAGGUAGAAGUUAUUGAGGAAGAUCUCUAAGCUAUAGGUUAAUUCCAAGGUUUAUCAUUAAUGCUUAUGCUGACCUUUUUGAGAAUAACUAAGUGAAUUUUUUUAAAAUCCGAGAAAGUUGACCAUAAAAGGAUUCCAGGUAUAAACAUUUUUCCAUUCCAGGUGACCUCCUGUUUUUCAUUCUAUUUCAUUUGAUUUAACUUUUUGGCACAAAACUUACAGGUUCUUUGUCAACAAUACUUAACAGACUCAGUAAAUUAGUAGAUUUUGAAGAGUGGUUUAAUCAUAAAGGAAAGAAAGUACAUGGUCCUAACAUCCUCUCUUGUAAUGGGGUAGGAUCAUGGAUUUCUUCUUGGGAAUCAGGCAGGAGCACUGCAAACUCCCAUGGACUAGCAAGUGACUCACCCUAAGGUCACUGAAGAAAGGAGUGGCCAAGGUCCAAGGGUGGGAAAAAAACCUUCUAAUUAAUUAAACUUAUACUUGACCUAGUGUGACUAGCAUUGGAGCAUUACCUGCUUCAGCGGUUUUACAAGGCUGUUGGGAAGAUGGGGCUGUUUUGUUUUUUAUUUUGUUUUGUUUGUUUACAACAGUGCCCCCCAAAGUGCCUCUUUAUUCCUAAGGACUUUAAUCACAAUUUGAAAACCACUCAUCUAUUCAGCCUCUUGGUUUUAUUUAUUGGGAACUAAGAACCAGAUACUGUGGACUUCCAGUAUGAGACAAAGGUGUUAUUUAAGCAAGUAAUGAAACAAAAAUACUUGUUGAAUACUCUCUUUCAACACUUCAAAGAAGCCAGGAAGGGAGAAGAAAGAGUUUUGGAGGGGAAUCACCACCACACCUCUCUGCUGAGUGGGUUGGGGCAUUCAACUCUAAAGCAGAGGCAAAGGAGCCCCGGGCAAGCCUGGCCAUCCCCCUAGGCUCGAUUUGCACCCAUAGGAGACUUUAGCCAUAGGGGAACUGUCAGUUCUGAAUUCUGUAGGGUGGUCUUGUCCAUCAGAUGGGACCAGUACAACCUGAGCACCCCUUGGUCUGCUAGACUCUCCUGGGGCCACAGCCUGGCCACACAUAGUUGCAGGGCAGCCUUUGGUGCCCUGAGGGCCCACACCAUAGCUUUUGCAAUGGUGGAUCACGCCUGACAGAUGGAGAGCUCCAGUGGGCAGUGCCUAUGGACACACACCAGUCCACACAUUCCCUUCCAAUACUGCGGCUUCCUCUGGGCCCCUGGCAACUCCUCACAUUGUUUUGCUGGCAUGUGGCUGCACAGGGCAGGUUUUGCUUUUGUUGCCUCACCAGCAUGCAGGAGUGCAGUCAGCCCCUCUGCCGCCUGCUGAUUGCUAUUGCAGAUGGAGCAUUGAUGGGCACAGAGCAAACCAGCCCUCCCCCUGCAAGCACCCUGCCUUAUGCAAACACUAUACAGAGAAAAGUGGAUCCACCCCUGCCCUGAGGGACCACUCCUGCUUGUAGGGCACAAAGAAGGCACCCAGACCAGUGCCUGCCAACAUCUUGCUCCCAAGCCAACACCACCUUGAGUGCGACUGCACAGUCGCAGGCAACACACACCCCUCUAGCUGCAUUGCCUCCACCACUGCGAUGAAUGCUCACAGGGAGGCAGGACCCCCAGCACCCACUAGCACUCUGCCACAGCUGCUGCUACCAAUGCUGCUGAAAUGCAGACAAGAAGGAUCCCACUGUCACUACACCACGAAACAUUUUGGCUGACAUCACCCAUCAGAGUGCAGUAAACAGUGGUCCAGGAGCACCUCAGUGCCCCCAGGAUAGCAGAUUCCUAAUCUCAAGGAGACAGAGAACAAAGUGGGGCCCAACACAAGUCCUCCAAAGUUAGAGAACUAAGCCCAGGAGUUGAGAGCUGAGGACCAAAUCUCUAAAAUCUUCCAGAAAUGAAGCCAGUUAGCUGACUGCACCUUAUACCACAAUCAAAUCCUCAAGGUCAUUAAAUAGGAUAAAAGAAAAAACACUCAUCCAAAGGUAAGCAUCCUCAAAGACUGAAGGAAGAUAAGCCCAGAAGAUGAGAAACAAUCAGUACAAGAACCCUGAUAACGCACAAAGCCAGAGUACCUUUUUACCUCCAAAAACACACAUCACCUCUCCAGCAAGGUUCUGAACUGGCUGAGAUGGCUGAAAUGACAGAAAUGUAAUUCAGAAUAUGGAUAGAAAUGAUUGAGCUAUAGGAAUAAGGUGAAAUCUAAUGCAAGGAAGCUAAAAAAUCAUAAACAAUGCAGGAACUUACAGACAAAAUAGUCAGUAUAGAAAAGAACCUAACCAACCUAAUAGAGCUAAAAAAUACACUGCAAGAAAUUUUACAAUGCAACCACAACUAUUAGUAGCAGAUUAGGCCAAGUGGAGGAAAGAAUCUCAGAGCUUGAAGACUGUCUUUCUGAAAUAAGACUGUAAUAAAGAAAUAGAGAAAAAAGAAUAAAAAGAAAUAAACAAAAUCCCUGAGAGAUGUGGGAUUACAUAAAGAAGAAAUCUAUGACUCCUGGGUGUCCCUAAAAGAGAUGGGGAGAAGGGAACUAUAUAAUCUAUUCUCAUGCUGCAAAUAAAACAUGUCUGAGACUGGGUAAUUUAUAAAGGGAAGAGGUUUAAUGGACUCACAGUUCAGCAUGACUGGGAGGAUUCACAAUCAUGGUAGAAGGUAAAGGAAAAGCAAAGGGAAGUCUUA